AACGAACGCUGGCGGCAUGUCUAACACAUGCAAGUCGAACGAGACCUUCGCGUCUAGUGGCGCACGGGUGCGUAACGCGUGGGAACCUGCCCUUAGGUUCGGAAUAACUCCCCGAAAGGGGUGCUAAUACCGGAUAAUGUCUUCGGACCAAAGAUUUAUCGCCUUUGGAUGGGCCCGCGUUGGAUUAGCUAGUUGGUAGGGUAAAAGCCUACCAAGGCGACGAUCCAUAGCUGGUCUGAGAGGAUGAUCAGCCACACUGGGACUGAGACACGGCCCAGACUCCUACGGGAGGCAGCAGUGGGGAAUAUUGGAUAAUGGGCGAAAGCCUGAUCCAGCAAUGCCGCGUGAGUGAUGAAGGCCUUAGGGUUGUAAAGCUCUUUUACCCGGGAUGAUAAUGACAGUACCGGGAGAAUAAGCUCCGGCUAACUCCGUG
rnacentral:rRNA from 1 species